CAGCAGCCGCGGUAAUACGUAGGUGGCAAGCGUUGUCCGGAAUUAUUGGGCGUAAAGGGCUCGCAGGCGGUUUCUUAAGUCUGAUGUGAAAGCCCCCGGCUCAACCGGGGAGGGUCAUUGGAAACUGGGAAACUUGAGUGCAGAAGAGGAGAGUGGAAUUCCACGUGUAGCGGUGAAAUGCGUAGAGAUGUGGAGGAACACCAGUGGCGAAGGUGACUCUCUGGUCUGUAACUGACGCUGAGGAGCGAAAGCGUGGGGAGCGAACAGGAUUAGAGACCCGUGUAGUCCCUGUCUCUUAUAA
rnacentral:rRNA from 1 species